GAUGAACGCUGGCGGCGUGCCUAAUACAUGCAAGUCGAGCGAAUGGAUUAAGAGCUUGCUCUUAUGAAGUUAGCGGCGGACGGGUGAGUAACACGUGGGUAACCUGCCCAUAAGACUGGGAUAACUCCGGGAAACCGGGGCUAAUACCGGAUAACAUUUUGAACCGCAUGGUUCGAAAUUGAAAGGCGGCUUCGGCUGUCACUUAUGGAUGGAACCGCGUCGCAUUAGCUAGUUGGUGAGGUAACGGCUCACCAAGGCAACGAUGCGUAGCCGACCUGAGAGGGUGACAGGCCACACUGGGACUGAGACACGGCCCAGACUCCUACGGGAGGCAGCAGUAGGGAAUCUUCCGCAAUGGACGAAAGUCUGACGGAGCAACGCCGCGUGAGUGAUGAAGGCUUUCGGGUCGUAAAACUCUGUUGUUAGGGAAGAACAAGUGCUAGUUGAAUAAGCUGGCACCUUGACGGUACCUAACCAGAAAGCCACGGCUAACUACGUGCCAGCCGCCGCCGUAA
rnacentral:rRNA from 1 species